GGUCCUGAACAUCACGUCAAGAAGCGCAGGAAUAUAUACCUGUGGGUACCAGCAGAGGAAUGAGAUGAAACAGAGGAGGAGCUCUGCCCUCAGUGCUUGCCAAAUCCUGGAUGUCCCUGGUGCAGCUGCUGGCGUGACCACGCAGGACUUCUGCAGCUCCCCAGGCAAUGUGGUGAGUUCCCCAGCAAGUCCAUCACCCCCAGGUGAGAGAUUCCCU